rnacentral:rRNA from 1 species
UACGGAGAAUCCAAGCGUUACCCGGAAUUACUGGGCGUAAAGAGUUGCGUAGGCGGCUCAGCAAGUUUUCGCUUAAAUAUUAAGGCUCAACCUUGAAAAUGGCGAGAAAACUGCUGAGCUAGAGGAUGGUAGAGGUGAGUGGAAUUCCUGGUGUAGGAGUGAAAUCCGUAGAUAUCAGGAGGAACACCAAUGGCGAAGGCAGCUCACUGGGCCAUUCCUGACGCUCAGGCACGAAAGCGUGGGGAGCGAACCGG